rnacentral:rRNA from 1 species
UACGUAGGGUGCGAGCGUUAAUCGGAAUUACUGGGCGUAAAGCGUGCGCAGGCGGUUGUGCAAGACAGAGGUGAAAUCCCCCGGGCUUAACCUGGGAAUGGCCUUGUGACUGCACGGCUAGAGUGUGUCAGAGGGGGGUAGAAUUCCACGUGUAGCAGUGAAAUGCGUAGAGAUGUGGAGGAAUACCGAUGGCGAAGGCAGCCCCCUGGGAUAACACUGACGCUCAUGCACGAAAGCGUGGGGAGCAAACAGG